rnacentral:lncRNA from 1 species
UAGAAUUUAGGAUUUGAUUAGGAUUUAGUUAAAAUUUAAGCUUGAACUAGGAUUUAGGAUUUGAUUAGGAUUUGGUUAGAAUUUAAGGUUGAACUAAGAUUUAGGAUUUGAUUAGGAUUUGGUUAGAAUUUAAGGUUGAACUAGGAUUUAGGAUUUGAUUUAGGAUUUAGGAUUUUUUUAGGAUUCGAUAUUUAAAGUUUACUUAGGAUUUAGGAUUUGGCUUAGGAUUUGAUUGAAGUGUAUUAGGAUUUUAACUAGAUUUAAAUUAGGACUUGGUUGAAAUUUAUUUAAGAUAUAUUUGUGAUUAUUAUAAUAUUUCUUUAAAAUUUCUUAAAGAUUCUUUUAAGAUUUAUUGUGGAUUUUUUUUUAACUCCUUUAAGAUUUCUUAUUGUUUCUUUUAUAAUUUAUUUAAGAUUUCUUUUGAAUUUUAUUAA